rnacentral:rRNA from 1 species
AAAGAACCCACCAGGGAUUGCCUUAGUAACGGCGAGUGAAGCGGCAACAGCUCAAAUUUGAAAUCUGGCUCCCCGGAGCCCGAGUUGUAAUUUGCAGAGGAUGCUUCGGGUGCGGUUCCGUUCUAAGUUCCUUGGAACGGGGCGUCAUAGAGGGUGAGAAUCCCGUACGUGACCGGAACCCAUCCCGUGUGAAGCUCCCUCGACGAGUCGAGUUGUUUGGGAAUGCAGCUCUAAAUGGGUGGUAAAUUUCAUCUAAAGCUAAAUACUGGCCAGAGACCGAUAGCGCACAAGUAGAGUGAUCGAAAGAUGAAAAGCACUUUGGAAAGAGAGUUAAAAAGCACGUGAAAUUGUUGAAAGGGAAGCGCUUGCAACCAGACUCGCCCGCGGGGGAUCAGCCGUCGUUUUCGGCGGUGCACUCCUCCGCGGGCGGGCCAGCAUCGGUUCGGGCGGCCGGAUAAAGGCCCCGGGAAUGUGGCUCUUCGGAGUGUUAUAGCCCGGGGCGUCAUGCGGCCAGCCCGGACCGAGGUCCGCGCUUCUGCUAGGAUGCUGGCGUAAUGGUUGUUAGCGACCCGUCUUGAAACACGGACCAAGGAGUCGACCUCUCGAGCGAGUGUUUGGGUGUCAAACCCAUGCGCGUAAUGAAAGUGAACGGAGGCGAGAGCCCCUAGGGUGCAUCGUCGUCCGAAUCCUGAUGUCUUCGGAUGGAUUUGAGAAUGAGCUCGUGGGGUCGGACCCGAAAGAUGUUGAGCUAUGCGUGAAUAGGGUGAAGCCAGAGGAAACUCUGGUGGAGGCUCGCAGCGGUUCUGACGUGCAAAUCGAUCGUCAAAUUUGCGUAUGGGGGCGAAAG